GAUUCCUGUAAGUCUGAGCAUAAAGUUUUAUGGCACAUGUUCUGCUCUUUAUGGGAAAAAACACCAUGGGGAGCUACGCUUCAAAGAAUCAAGGUCCCCUUUCUGCCCUUUGAACUGAACUGGUAAGCCUUCAGACAGGUUACACAUUGCAAUUGCUGCUUUGGAGCUCUCCUUGAAUCACUGUCUUUUGCUCUGGCUAUAGAUCCUGAUGUGCUUUGUAAAUGGAAAUUCAGAAGGGAGCUGACUUUCGAGAUCAACAGAUCAAACAUACAGCUAGGACUUUCAGUCCAUUGAACUAUAAUGCAUAUGAAGACUCGACUACAAAUGUGUUGCUUGAAGAGGUCAUUCUUGAUAGAGUGAGCCAGUUCCUCGUGGUAUAAGUUGGCAGCAUGUCAUAAAAGUCAGUGCCUUGAAGUCAAUGGAUCUUUCCAUCAUAUAUAUGAAUUCUGCCUUAUGCCUAGCAUGUGACACACCCUUGGAAGAAGAGAUUGCAUGAAAAGUAAUGAAGGUGUUGAUUCAAGUUACUACUGAAGAGUGGUAGAAAAUUGGCCCAGCUGUAGGAGAUGAAGAAUCAGGAACAGUGCACCUGAUCCAUAUAUGGUAGUUUGGAAGCUCAGAAGAAUUCAGUGAAUUCUGAUCAAUGCACGAGAUAUACAUGUACAGUUUAAAGGGAGCUCUGUAAAAUUAAGGAAGAGAUGCUGGCAAGAGGCCCACAAAGCACUGUCAGGUCCUGUCUUGCCAUGUCUCUCCUUGAAUUGUUUCUAUCACUUGCUGAAUUGCUCAGUUCCAUGUACAGCAAAUAAUUUUGCUAUCACUGCUGUCAUUGGUACAUUUAGUGGUUUGGGUGAUCUUUAUUUUGCUUCAAGAUGACCAUAUGAAGAAUCCAUGGAGUACAAAGGCAUGUUUUGCUUAACUUGAAUUCAGAUAGGAGUUUCAUGACUCAGAGAGACACUAGAGCACAGCUCAAAUUUUGGACUGUAUGUUUUAAAGACAAUGUGAGAUUAAAUAGCCAAGAUAAUGGAAGAGUGAACAGAUUUACACAUCCUUACUUCUCUAACUGUUUCUGAUCUUCGGGGUAAUGUUUGUCACACCACCAUUCAGAGUAUUUGGAAAGUAGCCUGACUCACGUUUUGGCAUGACUAUAAGGAGACCUGUGUCCUAUGGCUGUCUCCCAUUUUGUUUCUUCAAAACACUUUUGUGUCUUCACUUCAUCUUGGCAGCUGCAGCUAUCUGCAGUGACUGCACUGGAAAGACACCUGAGAAUGUGAAUGCUUUUCCUGGAAUUAGAAAGCAAGGGUGAAUGUGAAGAAGACUGAAGGCCUUGAUAUUAAGGAAGUCAUUUAUAUGAAAUACAGCAUGCCAUCCCAACAAAUGAUAAAAACUCAGAGAAGACUGCUGAACCAGAAAUAUCUGACUCCUUACAAUAUUUAUUGCAAAGUAGUAGUUUCCAGUGAAAAUUCCUGUGACAAAAGUGAAGGGGCUAUCUGCUAUUUAGGGUAUAUGGCAGAUGGCAAUGGGUCAUGUAGUGUAUCUCCCUGACACUGUUCAUUUUCCAGGCCAGUUGGUUACAUUUGACAGGUCUACUCAGAAAUCAUUAACCUGAUCUGCCCAUGUCUGUCAUGUCUCUAGCAUAAUGCAUCUUCAUGGUAUAAGGUAAACUGGGUACCUGGAGGGUAAAGGAAAUAAAAAAGACUCAUAGCCUAUAUAAAUCAAAAGAAAAAGGAGAAAAGGAAGCCACUUAGAAGAGUAGGUGUCAUUGAUUGACUGUAAUUUUAAAGGGUCUUUCUUAUGAUGGACAAAUUUCUGAAGUGUUCAUUAACUAAUGGAAUUAUGGUGGCUGACUGCUGCUGUCUCCACAGAACAUCAGGUUAAAAAGCACAGAUAAAUAAUGGGUUUUCCUUUAUUAUGGAUCAGUGUCCUCACUGUCUGGAGCUCAUGUGAAGAUGCUGUUAAGGAUUAAGGGGCUUUCAUUACUGAAAUUCAUGUUUAUGCUUUUCUGUUCCUCAAUAAUGGUAUACACAUGCACAAGGGAAUAGGAAGGGGGAAAAGAAGGGAAGAUGGAAAUGUUGCCAGCAGAGAAGAAAAUUAUUCUGAAAUGCUUGGUAAUAAAUGCUUUUCCUACUGCAAAACACCAAAUGAAACUGAACUCAGAGGGUUAAACAAUAGAGGCAUAGCACCUGGUCUUUAAUAUAUUCAAUUAUCCAGAAAACAAAAUCAAUUUUGUUUUUGUUAAUAGCACUGAAAUAUGCAUUACACUAUUUUAAUUAAAGCAGUCUAUUACGCUUGCAAUUCAGUUCAUUCCUGCAUAUUCCCCUAGGGCAGUAGUCAUGUACUGUGAUAAAACAUAAUGAAAAUAAUUUAUAAAAGAAACAAUACAAUAAAUCAAUCUGAUGCCUAAUGAACCUUCAUUACAAGGAUGGAUGCAAUAUUUUCUUAGAAUAUGUAGUGCUUUCUCCUUAAAUUAUUGGAAGAAUGCCUCAAAGCACUUAAAAAAAUAGCACCUUUCUUCAUCUCAGCAUGCUUUCAAAGCAUCAUAUCUUAAAAUCUCAGCAUUUCUUGGCAAAACAAACAGCAAUCCCUUUCAUUUACACUAGCUUUCUGUUUUUUUCUCUUAUCUUUAGUUAGAUUCAUCUGCCUCAUAGUGACACCUGUAGAGACCACAGGGAUUUCACUCAUUUGCAUACUUUAGCAGUCAGCUCUUUAUUGUCUGUAUUCCAGUAGACCUAAAUUUUAUAGGUGAGAUAAUUUUAUGUCUGGGGACGUGAGCUAUUCAAACAUCAAGUAUAAAACAGGCUGUUCCCUGAAGAUCUCACAGUGCCAGCAGGCAAACAGAAAGCUAAAAGGUGAGACAGAGGGGCCAUUAACAUUUUCAUACCAGACGCACGGAGAAGGGCAGUAAGCAGAGGUGACGUAUUCUAAACGAUUCUGGAUGCCACCUCUGAAAGACCAGAAGUCUCCUGGAAGGACCAGAUUUCAUCAGUGAUUAUGCAGAAUGUCCAUGGCCCAGCCCAGUCCUCCCAUCUUCUAAAUGUUCACCCCGUCAUGAGAAUUUCUAUAUAUACCACUACAAGGUUAAGUUCUACCUCAUCUUGUUCUCUUGUACAGGGUAGCCAUAAUUCUGGCAGCUGUGAAUAAAUAAAGUUACUCAAUGGGAAUUCUCAGUGCCACAACCAAGCCUUUAAUAGACCUGAAGUUCCUGUGUAGUAAUUUAGGAAUAAAAAAUACUGCUCUGGUUAUUUAUUAUUUGUUCUGGAAAAAUUGGGUGUAAAUAAUGGUUCAAGACAAAUACUAUCAAUUACUUAAACACUGUUAGAGAGCAGUGGCAGAACUAUUAGCUUCUAUGUUUGUCUCCUCUUGCACCAAACCACAAAGCUGCUCUCGAGUACCACAGGACAAGCUGCUGAAGCAGUUUGCAGAGACACUCCAACAGAUUCCAGGCAGGCACCUGGAGGAGCAGUGCCAGCCGGCUGCCAAAAUGGCCUGGCAGGAGUUCAUUCCAGAGGUGCCUGCUGGUUGGGAGCAUAUCAGCUCACAGGAAGCUGUUUUGAACCUUAACACUCAGCUCAUACUGGGGUACAAAUUUAGCAGCAACAAGAAUCUUUGUUAGCAACAGCUAACAGCCACUGCUCCAUACCAUCUUGUCUUUUUGAGAAAUAGUGUCUCCUGGCUGGCCAAUGUACUGUUGCUAGUCCUGUAAUCGCUGCUGCAGGUAGGUGUUACAGGUUUGUCCUCUAAUCUGAGAGAGAGGGUAUAAAGUCCUUGGAAGCAUGCUAAUAUAUGCAGUAUUAAAUGUGUCUAAAGAAGCCGCAGAUCCCUAGGUUACCAUCAGCAGCCUUAGGUAGACAAAAAAGACAAGCUGACUGUUGUGUGGUUCUAUAAAUACUUUAUCACAAAUGUUUAUUCCUUUUGCCUAUACAACCGAAAACAUUUUGCUGAAAUAGGUGAGCAAACUUAAAAUGCUCAGAUAAAGCUCACACAGACAAGCAGGUAACAUAAAUCCUUUGCAUUUUCACUUUGUAUUCAUAGUUUCUGCCAUAUGUGACUUUUUUUCUAGCUGAAAAAUCGUUUUACUUGUCAGAAAUGGUGUUCAUGUAUGAAAAACUAUCUUAGAUGGAAAAGAAGUGAUUGUGAGUGUUACUCUUGCCAUUGUUUCCUCCUAUAGCCCACAGUUUUCUGACUCCUACAUUGUUUUCAGUAUAGACAAAUCAGUGAUUUUGCUCCAUUUUAAAGAGUACCACAUGAGCACAGAAGAAAAAGAAAGCCAGUAAUUCCAUUCAUAUUUUAGAUUCAUUUGUUUUGAUAGAUCUUACCUUUCAAAGUGGGAAGCAUUCAAUGUCACUUGUUUUCCCUUUUAAUGACCAAUAGCUUAUUUUAGGUAGAUAGAACAGAAAUGGAUAAGGAUAUAAAAUCUCAAAUAUCAGAGCAAAAGGUACUAUUAUUUGCCCCCAGAAUUGUCCUUUCUGAGGGACUCAUUACCACACAAUUACUGGCUGAAAGCUUUGCUCACCUUUCUUUCAUCUUUCUUGCCAUCCUUUGUCAACAAGAAACUAAUUGAUGGACUGUUGGAUUCAAGUAGAAUUACUAUCCGUUGUAUUCAUAUACCUCAUUGUAUAUUAAUUACAUUUAAAAAUCUAGAUGAUUAUUGCCAGAUAUUUAUUUUCUUGCAGAAAAGAACUUGCUAUUCAUUGCAAGUAUUCCAUCUUAUUCCAUCAUUUCAGAUAGACAGAAGCCAGAGAAAAAUUAGGGAAUAAGGUAUACUGUAAAGUAAGUUAAUUAGAAUAUAAUUAAAAGUGAUAAAAUUACAGCAUAUGCCAACAUCCAUCAAGUCUUUAUGGGACAUGAGUGAACUGGAAUUUAUUACGUGGUCAGAUUUGAACUAUUUUCAACAAAAAGAAAGAAGAGGCAUCUGCCUGAUGAAUACACAGCAACUACUUUUGAUCCAAAUACUGAAUCCUUCUUAGGACUCUAUAGUACACAUGUAGAAAUUCUUUCCUAAGGUCUCUGCUUGAUUAUGUCAAAAUAAAAUAUCUUAGGGUUUUUAACAUGCAAUGAAAAUUAAAGAAACAUGGCAGAUAGAUAUACUACAAAGAAGAAUUUUCAUUCUGUGAAGUACAGUAAAUUAACAAAUAACUGGAAUAGCUUCAGCUAUUAAUGAAACAUUUAGGCAAUCUCUAAAUGUAGGCACUGCCAUAUGUGCUUAUUUCUAUGUACAUCAAGUUCUGCUCUCUGUUAUAAAUUGCAGUCAAUACCUGUCUACGAAAUGAAAGAAUUUUGGCCUAGUGCCUCUUUGGGGUAUCUCAUUCUGUUAAAUAACUUACUUCUGAGAAACUUAGCUAGAUCUUCACUGUUCAGUAACUCAUGAUUGCCUUUUUAAUUAAAAGCUUGAACCUUACUUUAUACUCAUUAAUCAUAUUAGAUUGGAGUGUUGAUAUAAUGGGCAUAGUUCACCUCUCAGACACAUUAAUAGAAAUUUUAUUGAAAUGCAUGGUAAGUUGCUUGAGGAUUUAGAAAUGCUAUUUUCCUUUUAGCUGCUCUACUUCCACAUGCCUAGCCUAAUUCUGUAGCUGGCACUACUGCCUUUCCUCAGGAUUCACUUUUGAUCCACAUGAUCACAUUGCAUUAGAGAAGCCAGGCUAGCACAAAAAGAAGCAGUGGGACAUGAGACUCACCUGCGUGUUCUGAGAAUCCCUUUGCUUCAAGACUGAUGUGAAAUGAGCUCCUUAGCUUCCUCAGACAAGGCUCAAACUCAGUCAUGUACACAAAGCAUACAAAGCUGAGGUACAAUUCAAGCCUUAAACCACACCUGCUCAUCCACAAAUCUCAAAGAGUUACUUACACUGUGUUCUUACAGUUCACUUUGCCCAAUAGCACACGCUGACUAUACGGAUAUGUGCUGUUUACCUGUAAUAAGCACGGCUCCUUCAGUGAGUGUACUUUUUUUCCCACAAAAAUCAGUAUCAAAACUUCAGAUGAUUUCAGUGUUUCAAGACUGGGUCUGACAAGUCUGGUUUUUAUAAGAAAUACAAGCCUGAGCCUCUGCCGGUAUAAAUCAACACAAGUCCCCACUGGAGCUAGGCUAAUCUACACAAGAGCAGGAUCUAACUUUAUGUAUUCUUUUCUUUCUCUUCUGUCCUGCUGGCAAGAACCCAACAGCAAAGCUUUUUGUGCAUUUGUUUCACUUUGUGUAAGGUCAGCUAAGGUUUUAUGUAAAACAGAUGGGCAAACUUAAAAAUGAUUUUUCACAUUGCAUCGAAAACCAGUAAAAAAGCAAAAGGGGGAAAAUUACUCUUUUUGUUCUUUCAAAUGUUGUUGCAAUGACCUUUAUUUUACCCAGUGCCUCAGUUUUAAAAAAGGAAAACAAACCCCUGUUUUUAUUACAGUGGAAAUGUUUUCUCUGCUGUUCAUGGAGGUCUUAAAGAGAAUCAGCAAGAGAAUGAAAAUUCCCAGUGGUUCAUUGGCAGUUUGAAAAUGGGAGCACAGUGCCCACGUUACAAAAUAAGGACUAUAUUUAAAUAGCCUUUAACUUAUGCUGCUGCAUUUUUGUUCUCACAAGUCUGUCAUUUUGCGGUAACUAAUCCUGUACAACUGAACCUGUAUGUAGAUACAUAGGUUAGAAGGCAUUAUUGCACAACUAUUUUAACCAGCCUAUCCUUCUUUAAAAAAAGUAAAAAAUUACACAAAUGGGAUUUCCUGCUUACAAAACAUUUCGUUCUCGGACACACAAAGCAGAAGUUUACAAGACUUCUGUGGCUGUUCUGACUGCUGGAGCAGAGUGGAUUUUCCAAUGAAUCAGGUUAUUCUCACUAAUUAGGACUGACAUAUUUAGAAAUUUCCAUUUAUUCAAAUGCCUGUAGGCUGCAGUAUGUCAUCCAUACUGUCUGCUGAGGUAUCCCCUUAAGCCAAAAAGAAAAGCCAAGGAGAAGCUGGUUUGUGCUAUCUGCAGCCACAGCCCUUGAGCCUCAGCUCUGGAGGCUACAUUCAACUGAGAUGUGAACCAGGGAGAGAGAGUCUUAAAGAAGAUCCAGAGAACAGGGAGGGCCAGUACACAAAUUCCCUAAUGCAAGAAUGGAUCGGCAAAGAAUGAUCCACAGAGAAGUGAGAGAUUGGCAAUAAAGCAGAAAGGGAUGACUAGAAAUGGAAGAACAGUCUUCAAGUACAUAGAAACAUAUUCGGAAGAGGAAGAUAAUAACUUGUUCUGUAUGUUAAUGAAUUGAAGUAAAAAUAACAACUAAUUAGGAGAAUUCACAUUAGGACAAAAAAGAAAGAAAGAAAAAAGGAGUGAUAAGGACUCACCGAGACAGGUGGGCCGGUGAUCUUCUCACACUGCCAUCAUCUCUUUAAUGACAGUUUUGACAAACAGCUGGUAGAAGUGACACAGGCAGAAUUGAUUCUGUCUUGGACGUGCAGAACAGACAAAGCUGACCUGACAAGGUCUUUCCAGCCUUCUGGUUUUAUAAGUAUGGUUGCACUCAUCCAUGUGUAUAACAUCCAGAUCAUGAGUAUGGUAGCAAAAAUGUGCAUCUGUUUCAAGAGAGUUUUAUGACUUCAUUGGAGUUUUGAGUGCACUAAAAUGCUAUGAGGAAGCCUGUCCAGGCAUUGAUUUAAUAUGUACACGCUGACCAAAAUAAACUUUUGGUUAUGCGUAUAUAUGCAUAUAUAUGGAUUUCUAGUAAUUAAUUUCUAAAGCUUAUAAAAACAGCUAUAACUAUGUACAAGGGCUGCUCUGAAAGUAAUGCCCUCCUAUUUUAUUAUGUUGGCCUGCACCAUCUGAGGUGGAUGCUGGAUGUUGAUUACAAGCAUGACAUACAUGCAGGCUCUCAUUCAUUGCUGGUGAAAAUGCACAGCUAAUGGUGCUGACUAUAUGAGAAGUGGUGAGUUGUAGCUGAGGAUUUUCUCCAUCACACAGUGUUAUUGUGCUCUUUGUGCCUGUUGUACUUUCCAUGGAAAUAAAUAGGAGGCAUUACUUUCUGAGCAACUAACGUUAAAUUCUAUUAAUAUUUAGUUACACAAUAUUUCAAGUAUUACAAAGUAAUGAAUGCAUUUUCAAACAAAAUGACUACAUGAUUGCCUUUGCAAGCCAGCUACUCAUAUUUCAUCUAGUUUUGCGCUGGCUAAAUACCACUUAACCAGUUUAGGCUUUCCUGUCAGUUGCAGUCUAAGACUAGCUGUGUUUAUGUGUUCUCUUAGGCUGAUGGAUCAAUUAACCAUGUAUUUAUUUGCAGUCUAGUGCUUGGGAAAAAAAAAAAAAAGACAGGAAGAAAAAAAACCUUAGAGUGAAGUUGAGACAAAUUGAUGGCAUUAGUAAGCGUUUAAUUCAUUGAACUCUACAGGAAGAGACAAUUCUCAGAAUGAAGGAGCUGAAGCUGACUAUGUAACCUAAAACUGACUGAAUUAAAGUUACUUGGGGGGAAAAAAAAGUAAAAUAACCUAUCAUAGCUUCAUAUACAAUUGAGCUUCAGGGGCCUUUUCAGAACAGAAAUGUGGCAGUCCUUUAAAACUGGAAAAAAAUAAUCAUCAAGACAAUUUUCAAUUUGUGUUUACCUUCAAACAUUUGAGAAGACAAAUAGUCUUUAAACAAUUGAAAAUGCUUGGGGUAUUUAAAAAUUAAAUACUUUGAUGUACUUGGACAAAUUGAAACCAGGAUGCAUCUGCAAGGGCAGUAGAAGUAAUAAAGCUGCUGACUGCUAGCAACUGUUAUAUGUUUAGUCUAGGAGUUUAAAAAUGGUUCUGGAAACUAAAACGAGAAUGAUUUUCAUUGCAGAUGGCCGUGAUGGUUUAAGUUAAGAGUGAAGUCGGCAUUUUGACUUGCUUAUAAAACUGAAUGUUUGGCAACUUCAAUAUAUAUUACUGAAAUAAAGAUAGCAACCUUAACCACAAGUAACUUGGCUUGACAUAUUAGUACCUAUUAGUACCUCACAAUGAAAUUAGGAUGAGCUUUUUUUUAUUAUUUUUUAUUUUUUUUAAUGAAUCAUUGCAUCCUGAACUUACUGUAGCUCACUCCAUCCUACUCCUGCAUUUAUUUGAAGAUAGCACCUACAGAUUAGAUUACAAAUACCUGCUACUUAACUAGUCCUUAGGACUUUAGGACUCAGGAGAAUGCUCUUUCUUUCUGUGAGCAGGAAGAAUACAGGAAGAGGAUAUUAAUGAGUAACCAGAACUGUUUCCCCUAGGAACUUUAAGCAACUUUAAUAAAUUAAUGGUAAUUUAAUUGCUAACUUUGACUUAUUGCUUGCCAUCUUAGUAUGUCAUCAUUUAGAAAGUGUUUGCUAAUAAUGAAAAAGCUCAGCAUUGCUUACAAUGCUUUAAAUUUUACAAGAGCAAAACAAUUACAUCAUUUUCUUAAGUAAAUGGAAAUAACUGAUUUCUUAUGCAGGAAGCUAAGAAAACAGACUAGCAUGAAAGGACACUCUCUUAAUUUAAAAUAUAUUUCCACGUAUAUACACUCUAAGUCUCCAAUUAUAGCUGCGCAGAAUUGAUCGUCUCAGGUGUUGAGAAACAAAUGGUCUUACCCUUCUGAACAUUACGAAUAUGCAAUUUAAGGACCUUGUUUUUCAAAUAAUGAAGUUUGGGUUCUUUUUAUUUGUCUUUGGUUUUCAAGCUGUUAGCAAGCACUCGAGUCAUGUUUUCAUGCUUUUCUCUUCAGCUAAAAGAAGAAGAAAUUAAUUUUUUAAACGAUGCCCAAGAGUGUCACAUGAUCACACCACUGUAGGCAAUUGGACUUGAUAAUAAAUACCCAACAUUGUGAAACCUUUGAUAAAAACAUGGAAGUAAGAAUCUACAAAAUAUUAGUAUUCUGUAUAUGUUUUAAAACAGAAGUCUCUCUUUUAGGAUGACAGUAGAUUACUAGACUACAAGCAUUAUUUAACAGUGCCUUUAGGAGAUCAGAUACAUUCUAUGUCUGAAAGGUCUUGGACACUCCUGAUACAGAGCCUUUCCAGCAAGGAAUAACUAGGCUGUGCUCCAAAUAAACAACUGUAGGGUUGUUGGUUUUGUUGUUCUUUGGAUUUUUAUAUUAUUUUAUUUAUUUAUUUAUUGCAG
ensembl:lncRNA